rnacentral:rRNA from 1 species
CCUACGGGAGGCAGCAGUGAGGAAUAUUGGUCAAUGGACGAGAGUCUGAACCAGCCAAGUAGCGUGAAGGAUGACUGCCCUAUGGGUUGUAAACUUCUUUUAUAAAGGAAUAAAACGAGGCACGUGUGCCUUUUUGCAUGUACUUUAUGAAUAAGGAUCGGCUAACUCCGUGCCAGCAGCCGCGGUAAUACGGAGGAUCCGAGCGUUAUCCGGAUUUAUUUGGUUUAAAGGGAGCGUAGAUGGGUUGUUAAGUCAGUUGUGAAAGUUUGCGGCUCAACCGUAAAAUUGCAAUUGAUACUGGCAGUCUUGAGUACAGUUGAGGUAAGCGGAAUUCGUGGUGUAGCGGUGAAAUGCUUAGAUAUCACGAAGAACCCCGAUUGCGAAGGCAGCUUACUAAACUGUGACUGACAUUGAUGCUCGAAAGUGUGGGUAUCAAACAGGAUUAGAUACCCUUGUAGUC